GAUGAACGCUGGCGGCGUGCUUAACACAUGCAAGUCGAACGGAAAGGCCCCUGCUUGCAGCGGUACUCGAGUGGCGAACGGGUGAGUAACACGUGGGUUAUCUGCCCCGCACUUCGGGAUAAGCCUGGACACUGGGUUUAAUACCGGACAGGACGAUGGUUUGUAUGCCAUUGUGGAAAGUUUUUCGGUGUGUGAUGAGCUCGCGGCCUAUCAGCUUGUUGGUGGGGUAAUGGCCUACCAAGGCGUCGACGGGUAGCCGGCCUGAGAGGGUGUACGGCCACAUUGGGACUGAGAUACGGCCCAGACUCCUACGGGAGGCAGCAGUGGGGAAUAUUGCACAAUGGGCGCAAGCCUGAUGCAGCGACGCCGCGUGGGGGAUGACGGCCUUCGGGUUGUAAACUCCUUUCGCUAGGGACGAAGCGCAAGUGACGGUACCUGGAGAAGAAGCACCGGCUAACUACGUG
rnacentral:rRNA from 1 species